rnacentral:rRNA from 1 species
CCGGGGCGGCAGCACAAGAAUUGCAGUUCGAACGAACCAUUGCUGAUGAUUGAAGCUUGCUUCAUGAUUCAGACCUUGGUGAGUGGCGGACGGGUGAGUAACACGUGGGUAACCUGCCCAGAAGUGGGGGAUAACAUUUGGAAACAAGUGCUAAUACCGCAUAACAACUUAGAUCACAUGAUCUUUGUUUAAAAGAUGGUUUUGCUAUCUCUUCUGGAUGGACCCGCGGCGUAUUAGCUAGUUGGUGAGGUAAUAGCUCACCAAGGCGAUGAUACGUAGCCGACCUGAGAGGGUAAUCGGCCACAUUGGGACUGAGACACGGCCCAAACUCCUACGGGAGGCAGCAGUAGGGAAUCUUCCACAAUGGACGAAAGUCUGAUGGAGCAAUGCCCCGUGAGUGAAAAAGGUUUUCGGAUCGUAAAACUCUGUUGUUGAAGAAAAACAUAUGUGAGAGUAACUGUUCACGUACUCACGGUAUUCAACCAAGGAAAACCACGGCUAACUACGUGCCAUCAGCCGCAGCUAAUACCUGUAAGUGGCAAGCCGGUUGUCCGGAUUUAUUAAGCCUAAAGAGAAUGUACCUCGGUGGUUAUUAACUUUGCAAGUCAAAGCCCUCGGCUUCACCGAGGUAAGUGCUUCCAAAACUGGCAAACUAGGUGAUGAUGCGGAAAAGAAAGUGCAACUAAUCUGUAACCACGGAAUGGCAUAGAUAUCUGGAACGAAAACCACGUGAAAAACAGGCUUGCCACCGGGUCUGUAACGCCGAUAUGGUAAAACCACACCGUCUGUGACAAACCCGAUAGACACCCUGUAGUACAGUACUGUCGAUCACAAAUAUAUGUACUUCGCUGUGAGGAUAUGAACUUUCGAGUUCCUGCUUUCACCACAUUAACACUCUCCGCUUGGAGUACAAUCUUCCUCAGUAUGACGGUAUACAAUCGUAGUCGGGGUAGACGACAACACGCGCUCUAUCGCAUUUGCUAAAUAGAGAGAAACGAAAAGCACCUUACCAUGUUUCGAGCAUCACUUGAAGAAACUUAGAGAUACAUGCUUUUCCCUUGGAGAAAAUGGAGACAGGAGGUGCAUGAUUGUAUGACAAUGCUUGUGUUGUCAAAAAUAUGAGUCAAGUCCCGCAACGAGCUGCAACCCUUAUUAUCAGGUGUGCCAACAUACAGUUGGGCACGCUAGUGAGAACACCCGGUGAUACAACCAAAGGAAGGUGGGGACGACGUCAAAUCAUCAGGCCCCUUAGUGAACCCAGGCUACACACGUGAAAGCAAGGGUCGGUACGAACGUGAAUGCGAACUCAAGCGAGGGCAAGCAAAUCACUUAAAACCGAUCUCAGUUCGGAUUGUAGGGUGCAACUCGCCUACAUGAAGCUGGAAUCGCUAGUAAUCGCGGAUCAGCAUGCCGCGGUGAAUACGUUCCCGGGCCUUGUACACACCGCCCGUCACACCAUGAGAGUUUGUAACACCCAAAGUCGGUGGGGUAACCCUUCGGGGAACUAGCCGCCUAAGGUGGGACAAAUGAUUAGGGGAAGUCGAACAAGUGGCCCAGGCCCA